rnacentral:rRNA from 1 species
GUGGGGAAUAUUGCACAAUGGGCGCAAGCCUGAUGCAGCAACGCCGCGUGAGGGAUGACGGCCUUCGGGUUGUAAACCUCUUUUAGUAGGGAAGAAGCGAAAGUGACGGUACCUGCAGAAAAAGCACCGGCUAACUACGUGCCAGCAGCCGCGGUAAUACGUAGGGUGCAAGCGUUAUCCGGAAUUAUUGGGCGUAAAGAGCUCGUAGGCGGUCUGUCGCGUCUGCUGUGAAAACUGGAGGCUCAACCUCCAGCCUGCAGUGGGUACGGGCAGACUAGAGUGCGGUAGGGGAGAUUGGAAUUCCUGGUGUAGCGGUGGAAUGCGCAGAUAUCAGGAGGAACACCGAUGGCGAAGGCAGAUCUCUGGGCCGUAACUGACGCUGAGGAGCGAAAGCGUGGGGAGCGAACAGGAUUAGAUACCCGGGUAGUCC